rnacentral:rRNA from 1 species
UGCCAGCAGCCGCGGUAAUACGGAGGGGGUUAGCGUUAUCCGGAAUCACUGGGCGUAAAGCGCGCGUAGGCGGCUUGUUAAGUCAGAUGUGAAAGCCCGGGGCUCAACCUCGGAAUAGCAUUUGAAACUGGUCAUCUAGAGUACUGUAGAGGGGGGUAGAAUUUCAGGUGUAGCGGUGAAAUGCGUAGAGAUCUGAAGGAAUACCAGUGGCGAAGGCGGCCCCCUGGACAGAUACUGACACUCAGAUGCGAAAGCGUGGGGAGCAAACAGGAUUAGAUA